rnacentral:rRNA from 1 species
CCCUUAGAUGUUCUGGGCCGCACGCGCGCUACAAUGAUGAAUUCAACGAGUUUAUAACCUUGGCCGAGAGGCCUGGGCAAUCUUGUUAACGUGCAUCGUGAUAGGGAUAGAUUAUUGAAAUUAUUAAUCUUGAACGAGGAAUUCCUAGUAAACGCAGAUCAUCAAUCUGCAUUGAUUACGUCCCUGCCCUUUGUACACACCGCCCGUCGCACCUACCGAUUGGAUGGUCCGGUGAAGCCUCGGGAUUGUGGUUCUUGCCGCUUUAUUGUGGCGUGACCGCGAGAACUUGUCUAAACCUUAUCAUCUAGAGGAAGGUGAAGUCGUAACA